UACGUAGGGGGCUAGCGUUGUCCGGAAUCAUUGGGCGUAAAGCGCGCGUAGGCGGCCAGAUAAGUCCGGUGUGAAAGCCACAGGCUCAACCUGUGAAUGCCGCUGGAAACUGUCUGGCUAGAGUCCGGGAGGGGCGAGUGGAAUCCUGGUGUAGCGGUGAAAGUGCGCAGAUAUCAGGAGGAACACCAAUGGCGAAGGCAGCUCGCUGGAACGGAACUGACGCUGAGGCGCGAAAGCGUGGGGAGCGAACGG
rnacentral:rRNA from 1 species